rnacentral:rRNA from 3 species
AUUUGAUCUGAAAUCAGGUGGGAUUA